rnacentral:lncRNA from 1 species
ACAAAUACUUGAUGGAAUGAAUGAAUGAAAGAAGAAAUGGUAACUAUGGGGUCCCAUGCAUGUGUCCUGCGGAGAGGAGGGGGCGGUUAAUGAUCUGGCAGUGGAAGGACAAGGCAGGCAGACUCCCGGACACGAGCCAACCACUUCCCUCAGCUCCUCCUCCCUGGGCCUGUGACUCCCCUGCCUGGACCACUAGUCACUUGCUGGGAUCUUUACGGGAGCCUCUGCACUAGUCCCCCUCUUUCUGCCCUGGCCCCUACAGUGUGUUCUCUAACACAGUCCCGGUGACCCUCUGAAGUCGGGUUCUCCACCCCAGCGCUCUGCCCAACCCCUUUGCCACCUCAGCUACAUCAAAAUGGAAGAAGAAAUUGCUGCUCUCGGCGUUUACAAUGGCUCUGGCAUGUGCAAAGUUGGCUUUAGCGGAAUGAUGCCCCCAGAGCAUCAUGGGAAAUGUGGGACAGGACAGAUACAUGGGUGAUGAGCUCAGAGCAAGAGCGACGUUCUGAGCCUGAAGCGCCUCAUUGAACUGGGCUGACAUGGAGAAAGACCUGGCAUCACACCCUCUACCCCCAGCUUCCUGUUGCCCCAAGGAACACCCUCUUCUCUUUACCAAAGUUCCACUGACCCCCAAGAGCAAUAGGGAGAGGACGGCCCAGCUCAACACCCUCCAGGCGUGCUGCUGCCCGGGUCGGGCCCUCCUCCAGGUGGUUGUGGACUCUGGAGUAGUGUUGCCCUCACAGUGCCUAUCAGUGAGGGUGACACCCUGCCCUCAGUGAGGGUGACACCCUCCCCUACGCUGGCCUCUGGACUUGACUGACCGUGACUUGGGAGAUGACCUCCUGGAGGAGAGCCUGACGGAAAGAGGUUACAGCCUCGCUACCACAGCUGAGAGGGACUGGUGUGUGACGCGGAGGGAAAGCUCUGCUGCAUCACCCUGGACCUGGAGCAGGAGAUGGCCCCCGCUGUGUCCUCCGCUUCCUCCCCGGAGAAGGGCUGUGAGCUUCUGAUGGUCAGGAGGUCGUCCUUGGCCAUGAGAGGUCCAGAUGUCCAGAGCGUCUCCUCCAGCCCUCGUUCCUGGGCUUGGCGUCCUGUGACAUUCAUGAAACCACUUUUAACUCGGUUCUGAAGUGUGCUAUUGACCUCUGAAAGGAUCUGUGUGCCCACACAGCAUUGCAGGGGGGCCAACAGAACGCAGGGAGAAAUCACGGCCAAUGAAGAGAGUUUCUCCUUAGGCACUAAAAAUCCGGAGCGGUGGCUUCCUUGCAGGCUGCUCUCUCCGCCUUCCAGCAGAUGUGGAUCAGCAAGCAGCAGGGGGACGGGUCAGGCCCUCUGACUGUCCGCUACAAAUGCCUCCAAUGAUGCAACUGCAGAAUGUCUGUUGCAUGAGUUCAUUCACAAGUAUAACUUUAUCCUGGCAAAAUAUAUACGCUUACGCUGGCCUCCUGAAACUGGAGCAGCUUUUGAGAAGAAAUCUGCCCAAUACUGAAAUGAACACCAUCCUCGGGUUGUAAAAUAAGAGAGAUGCUUCCGGAGGCCGGAGACUGAGCCUGUCCUGUUCUGUCCUGCGUCCCUGGCACCUGGAAUAGGGCCCAGCACACAGUAGGUGAGGUGCCCCAUAAAUACUUCUUGAAGGAGGACGCCUGGCCCCCUGAUGAACCCUGUGUGGCCUGUAACCAGGAGUCACCCUCCACCCCAAUGCCACGAUCUCUGUCUGCAGCUCCACUGUGUCUCCCACUAGUUGUCAGGGGGAGAGCGGAAAUUUCCACUUGAAGCUGGAAGGAUAGCCACAUUCCCUGGGCUGGACUAGAGGGCCUAAGAGGACAUUUCCAUGACCCGUGUCUGGCAGCAUGAUGGAGUGGCCGGGGAGCCAGGGAGGGGCGAGGGGUGCUCGUGAGCCUCUGUGCCUGCCCCCUGCCCAGACUGGAGUGCAGGGUCUGUUUGCAGAUCUGCAGAUCGGAAACUCCAUGCGGGCUUAUCUCACACUAGGAGGUCCAGCCUGGGGUGUCCUCCAACCCUGGAGCCGGAAGGAUCUUUAGCCAUCAUCAAAUUCAAUCCUCUCCUUUUCCAGAUGGAGAAACUGAGGCCCAGAGAGGGGAAGCGAUGUGUCUCAGGUCACAGAAAAAGCUAGCGACAGACAAUGGACUCAAACCCACGGCACCGUCUGGGCUUUUGCCUCUCUUCUCGGCCCGUCCUUCUGUCCCGCCCACCCUUCCCUCCCACGGGCCUGCAGCCAAUCUUUCCCAAGUGCCACUUUGGGCCAGCCUGGUGCCCUGGGCCCUGGGCUUCCUGCCCUGGAAGCUCAGGCUGCCUGAGGCUAUGUCAUUGCCACUUCCUCCUGUCAGACCUCCAGAGCUGCCUGCCCCUCCUCCCCACACCCUGUCCCGGCCACAGACUCUGCUACUCGUUUAAAAAUCCUGAUGCCCAGGUUGCUCCCCAGACCAAUGAGAUCAGAAUGUCUGGCAGGGGCGGUGGGGGGGGGGGGGGGGUGGUCCAGGCAUCAGGGUUUUUUUUUUAAGAUGUCUGGGUGAUUCCAUUUGUAGCAAAGUUUCGAAACCUCUGUUUUAGCCUUGAUAAAUGGCACCUCCACCUCCUGUUCCUUGGCCCCUAGGCUGCAGAUAUUCUUUCUCGGGAUCUACUUUCUGGAUGCCUGGGCCUGGGCCCCAGGACAGUUCUCAGCUGGGCAAUCCCAACUCCUUCCUGCUCCUGCCCUUUGCCCAACAGGUCUCCGGUCUGCCGAGACUGCCUGUUCUGAUCUGCCUCACCACUGCCAGGAACUCACUAAAUAUUUGUUGUUAAUGAUGUUGAUAAAUAUUUGCUGUUAAUGACCUCAGUCUGACCAAGAGGAUCCUUGAUGUAGAAGAAAGAAAAGGGCUUUUUUUUGGUCUUCUAUGUGGGACGCUGCCACAGCAUGGCUUGAUGAGUGAUGCGUAUGUCCGCGCCCAGGACCUGAACUGGGGAAGCCCAGGCUGCGGAAGCAGAGCACAUGAACUUAACCUUUUGGCCGUGGGGCGGGCCCCAAGAAAAGGGCUUUGAGAUUUGCCUUUUCUGGACAUUUCAGAUCAAUGCAAUUGUGCAGCACGCGUGUCUUGCACCUGGCUUCUUUCCCUCAACACCAUGUUUCUGAGGCUCUUCUAUGUUGCAGCGUGUGUCAGUACCUUGUUCUUUUUUAUGGCCAAACCAUAUGAUAUUGCAUGGAUACACGGUACCACAUGUUGCUUACCUUUUCAUCAUUGAAAGAGCACUCUGAUCAUGUUGGACCACAGAGAAGACUGAGGGAAGGGACAAUACCUAAUUCAUCUCCCUUUUCCCAGGACCGAGCAGAGAGCCAGGCACAGACUAGAUGCUCCGUGUGGUAGCCACUAGUGCUGGCCACCAAAUAUUUCUUUCUUCUCCUGUUGCACUUCCUUGCUCCUUCAAGUUAGUUGUGGCCAAGUGACUUGCUUUCAUCAACAAAAUGUGAAUGGAUGUGAUAUGCGUCACUCCUGAGCAGAAACUUUAAAAGUCAGUGAGCAACUUAACCAUACUCUUAAUCUUGGAGGAGGUGGCUGGCUGCACCAUCACACUGGACCCUGCAGUGAGAAUGACAAGGACAUGCCACUCUAUAGCCAAUUGACAUGUAGAGUGAGCAAGAACUACAGGCUGAUUUAAGCUGCUUAGAUAUUGGCAUCGUUUGUUACUGCAGCAUAACCUAACUCAUCCUGACUAUUAUGUGGAUAAAUGUUUGGUGAAAAAAAUGAAUGGAACUAAAGAGCAGAACAUUAAAUUCUCUGUCUUUUCUGAUUAAAACUAUGAAAAACAAUGUCGGAAUAUGGGCUGUAAACUUAAGGAAAUGAGGAAAUUAAAGCCAGCUAGAUUGUUAGAGGUGGGGAUUAUGGUGAAUUCUUUGUCUUGUAAAUGUGUCUUUUGGGUUCCUGGACCCAAUUCCAACAUGCGUGUUUCUAGGC